rnacentral:rRNA from 1 species
AGCGAACAGAUAAGGAGCUUGCUCCUUUGACGUUAGCGGCGGACGGGUGAGUAACACGUGGAUAACCUACCUAUAAGACUGGGAUAACUUCGGGAAACCGGAGCUAAUACCGGAUAAGAUUUUGAACCGCAUGGUUCAAUAGUGAAAGACGGCCUUGCUGUCACUUAUAGAUGGAUCCGCGCCGUAUUAGCCAGUUGGUAAGGUAACGGCUUACCAAGGCAACGAUACGUAGCCGACCUGAGAGGGUGAUCGGCCACACUGGAACUGAGACACGGUCCAGACUCC